AGAGUUUGAUCAUGGCUCAGGACGAACGCUGGCGGCGUGCUUAACACAUGCAAGUCGAACGGAAAGGCCCUUCGGGGUACUCGAGUGGCGAACGGGUGAGUAACACGUGGGUGAUCUGCCCUGCACUUUGGGAUAAGCCUGGGAAACUGGGUCUAAUACCGAAUAUGACCACGCUCUUCAUGGGGUGUGGUGGAAAGCUUUUGCGGUGUGGGAUGGGCCCGCGGCCUAUCAGCUUGUUGGUGGGGUAAUGGCCUACCAAGGCGACGACGGGUAGCCGGCCUGAGAGGGUGACCGGCCACACUGGGACUGAGAUACGGCCCAGGCUCCUACGGGAGGCAGCAGUGGGGAAUAUUGCACAAUGGGCGCAAGCCUGAUGCAGCGACGCCGCGUGAGGGAUGACGGCCUUCGGGUUGUAAACCUCUUUCACCAGGGACGAAGCGCAAGUGACGGUACCUGGAGAAGAAGCACCGGCCAACUACGUGCCAGCAGCCGCGGUAAUACGUAGGGUGCGAGCGUUGUCCGGAAUUACUGGGCGUAAAGAGCUCGUAGGUGGUUUGUCGCGUUGUUCGUGAAAACUCACAGCUUAACUGUGGGCGUGCGGGCGAUACGGGCAGACUAGAGUACUGCAGGGGAGACUGGAAUUCCUGGUGUAGCGGUGGAAUGCGCAGAUAUCAGGAGGAACACCGGUGGCGAAGGCGGGUCUCUGGGCAGUAACUGACGCUGAGGAGCGAAAGCGUGGGGAGCGAACAGGAUUAGAUACCCUGGUAGUCCAA
rnacentral:rRNA from 1 species